GAAACUGCCGAAGACAGUAGGUGCUGGAAAGCAUAAGGAUUAAAACGCCUACCGAGGAAAGUACAUUCUUGAAGAAGAUUUGUAUGCCUUGCUGUCCUUUGCAGCAGGGCAUUUUCUUUUCA
rnacentral:sRNA from 1 species